GUUGUCUAUAUGUACCCUGUAGAACCGAAUUUGUGUGAGUUCCAGACAGUCGCAAGUACGUCUCUACAGGAAUACAUGGGCAAC
ensembl:miRNA mir10b-2 microRNA mir-10b-2